CUGAAGUGAAGUAAGAAGACCCGCUGAAUUUAAGCAUAUAACUAAGCGGAGGAAAAGAAACUAACAAGGAUUCCCUCAGUAACGGCGAGUGAAGCGGGAAGAGCUCAACUUGAAAAUCUCCCAACCGGGCGAAUUGUAGUCUAUAGAAGUAUUGAUCAGCCAAGCCUGUGGAUCCAAGUGUCCUGGAAUGGACUGUCCAUGGAGGGUGAUAGCCCCGUCUAUGGUCCAUGGCGCUGGCGUACGGUCUGCUUUCGAAGAGUCGAGUUGCUUGGGACUGCAGCUCAAAUCGGGUGGUAAAUUCCAUCCAAAGCUAAAUACAGGCGAGAGACCGAUAGCGAACAAGUACCGCGAGGGAAAGAUGAAAAGACCUUUGAAAAGAGAGUUAAAAAGUACCUGAAAUUGUUGAAAGGGAAGUGUUUGAGCUCAGUGUU
rnacentral:rRNA from 14 species